rnacentral:rRNA from 1 species
GACGAACGCUGGCGGCGUGCUUAACACAUGCAAGUCGAACGAAGAGCGAUGGAAGCUUGCUUCUAUCAAUCUUAGUGGCGAACGGGUGAGUAACGCGUAAUCAACCUGCCCUUCAGAGGGGGACAACAGUUGGAAACGACUGCUAAUACCGCAUACGAUCUGACCUCGGCAUCGAGGAUAGAUGAAAGGUGGCCUCUACAUGUAAGCUAUCACUGAAGGAGGGGAUUGCGUCUGAUUAGCUAGUUGGAGGGGUAACGGCCCACCAAGGCGAUGAUCAGUAGCCGGUCUGAGAGGAUGAACGGCCACAUUGGGACUGAGACACGGCCCAGACUCCUACGGGAGGCAGCAGUGGGGAAUCUUCCGCAAUGGACGAAAGUAUGACGGAGCAACGCCGCGUGAGUGAUGACGGCCUUCGGGUUGUAAAGCUCUGUUAAUCGGGACGAAAGGCCUUUUUGCGAAUAGUGAGAAGGAUUGACGGUACCGGAAUAGAAAGCCACGGCUAACUACGUG